rnacentral:lncRNA from 1 species
AUCACCGACUCGAUGGACGUGAGUCUGAGUGAACUCCGGGAACUGGUGAUGGACAAGGAGGCCUGGAGUGCUGCGAUUCAUGGGGUCGCAAAGAGUCGGACAUGACUGAGAGACUAAACUGAACUGAAGGUCUCAUCAUAAACACAGAUUAUAAGGAUUGCCUAGAGGGUCUAACCAUUUAUACGUGUAUAUCUAUAUCUACAUACAUAUUUAUAUUUACACACAGUAAUCUGGUUUGUUUUGCAUUCUUUGUGGUUUAAAUGGCCCAUAUGUAGAGAACAUAAAGCAAUAAAUAGCCUAGUUUAAGCUUUGAUUUUACCAAAAUAGCCCUUGAAAAGAUGGUAUCAAGGUCUUUUUAGAUAUUAGUGACUCCCUUGGAUAUUAGUUACUAACUUUGUUUUCUGUGUUUCUAAGAACAGCAUCUCUGAAUCUUAAGUACAAUGUAAUUUAAAUGUAUAGGGCCUCUGAGUUCAGGUCUUCCUUCAUGGCUCAGAUGAUAGAGAAGCUACCUGCCGUGCAAGAAACUCAGGUUCAGUCCCUGGGUUGAGAAGAUCCCCUGGAAAAAGGAAUGGCUACCCACUCCAGUAUUCUUGAGAAUUCCAUGGACAAAGGGAGCCUAGCAGGCUACAGUCCAUGGGAUGUCAAGAGUCAGACAUGACUGAGCAACUAACAUGAACAAAGUCUGAGUUCAAGAUUAAAAGUAUAAAUAUUCUCUAGGUAAAUUACACUGACAAAAUCGUAACUGCUGAAUGUAAGCUAAUAUUUUUUUUGAACAGUUAAAACCAACACAUUUUGCAUAUACAAUCAUAUCUUUUUUUUUUUUUUUCUGAUGGUGUGUUUUGUUAGUGUAAUCACAGUCAUCAUAAACUGAGCCAAGACUUUGUCAAACCAGAUGUGUGGACCAAAACAUUUAAACACGAGCUGAACAUAUGUAAAUGAUUUUAAUUGCUUUUGGGCAAAGGAGACCUAACAAAGUUUUGAUUGAUGUGAUCUUGAGAUUUGUUUAUUCAAAACUCAAAAGUUUUGAAUAUUUUUCAUUUAAAAAUAAAUUUUGUUCUUUUUGAAUUAGAAGUUAGACCCCUUUUAAAGAGAGUCCCCCUCUAUACAAAUACAGCCAUUAAGAGCUAGUUAGUAAAAUGGUAAUGUUUAUAUUGAACCCCAGGGUUAGGACAGUCUUUUAUGGCCACUGUACCUGGCAUUUUUCUAAUCCCGUAAAUUAGCCUACAGAGCAGUAUAAAAUGCAGUAAAUUUUAUUGUCAACCUUCUCUAUGGAGACCUAGGCUGGUGCUUCUCAAAUUUUAAUGUGCAUAUGUUAAAUCAGCCAGGAAUACAUUAAAAUGCAGAUUCUGAUAUAGUAGGUCAGGGUGGAGCCUGGGAUUUUCAGUUUCUUUUUUUUUUUUUUUUGGCCAUGCCACAUGGCAUGUGGAAUCUUAGUUCCCUGACCAGGGAUUGAACGUAUGCCUCCUGCCUUGGAAGCCCAGAAUCUUAACCACUGGGCCACUGAAGAAGUUCCCAAUUCUCAAUUUCUAACAAGCUCUUAGGUGAUAUCAAUGCUCCUGGUUGAAAGACCACACUUCAAGAGCCUAGACUAUAUUUAGCUUCCAUAUUGUCCCUGUUUCUGGUAAAAGGGAUAGAACUUAUCAUUGUAAUAAUACCUUCUGCAGGCUAGGCAUUCCCACAUUCCUUAUCUCAUUUAAUCCUCUUAACAAAUCCUCUGAAGUAUGUGGUGAUAGAGGUUAAGUGCUGCUAAAGCCCAAACACACAAGCAGUGCAGUAUAGAGCCCUGUUUCUCAAACUUGAAUAACACAUAUCCCCUUUUAAUACAGAAAAAUUCUCUUAGCUCCUCAGUUUUUUACUUUAUUUAUUAUAGUGUUAUCUAUGUAUAUAUAAAGUUACAUAUAAAUGCCUUAUGCUUAUAGCGCUUGCACAAAUAUAAAAUCGAAAGUUUACAGAUCAGACACAAACUAUGAAACUAAUGCAAUUUAAAAUAGCGUUGACUAGGUGUGGAGGCUGACGGUGUUUUGCCAAGGUGAAGCUGUGGAAUGAUUACGGUACUGAGUCCUGUGCCGCAGGUUACGUAUUCAGCAUGCCCCUGCUACCACGUGUGUGGUGACGCAGUCCUCCCGCUCUUUGUUCAAACUGUAACGUUUCUUUGUGUAGUGCAUAGUGGUGGUGGUUGGUCUUCAUGUAGCUUCAGCACAUCGUUCCCCUAUUAAGUUAGUCUCUGUUCUCCAUAAGCUUCCACAGCUAAAGCAGAGCCUGGCUUUAACACGCCAGGCUAAAUGAUGCAAACCAGGGCUGUGAAACAUAUUUGGCUUUAAGGCAGUUAUCCAGAUAAUUCAGAACAUGAAUACUGAUUAUUUUUUAGAAGUUCCAUCAACAUGAAAACAGUCUAAUUCUCAUAGUAAACUCCUGAGUCUCUCAUCCCACAAACAUACACACAGAGACUCUUAAUUCCCCUUUCCCCUCUCUCCCAACGAGAAUUUUUCAUGGCGGUUAACAGCAUUGGUCCUUUGGCUUCUGACAUACCUGGAUUCAGAACUAGGCAUGUUUCUCAGCAUUUUCUGAGUUUCACUGUUUUCAUGUAUUAAACAGGGAUAAUAAUACUGAUUCAAUAAUUAAGAGCAAUAAAUGUAAUCAUUCAUAAAACAUGCAUAGUUAGUGUUUAUGAGUGGUAGCUACCAUAGCUUUGAUUAGAAGUAAUAAUAAGUAACAUUUGGCGAUUUACUUUGUGCCUCUAAUGUUGCUAAACUCUUUGCAUAUGUUAUCUUACAUACUGAGUUGUAGAUUGUUGUUAUUCAGUCACUAAGUUGUGUUCGACUCUUUGUGUCCACAUACUCCAGUACACCAGGCUCCCCUGUCCUUCACUAUCUCCCAGAGUUUGCUCAAAUUCAUGUCCAUUGAGUCAGUUUUGCUGUCUGACUGUCCCAUCCUCUGUUGCCUUCUUCUCCUUUUGCCUUCAGUCUUUCUCAGCAUCAGGGUCUUUUCCAGAUGAAUCGGCUCUUUGCAUCAGGUGGCCAAAGUAUUGGGGCUUCAGUUGUAGGAUUGGAGUUCAAAUCCAAGUCUGACUGCAAAGCUCAUGCUCUUAUAAAAAAUAAUUAGUAUAGAACAUCUACACUAAGUUGCUUAUUUAAAAAGUUAUUUAAUGUUAAAUUGUAUUUUCUCAAAAUUUUUGUUAUAAAAUUAAUGAUGUUUCCCUGAAGGGGAAAUGGCUGAGGUUCCUUUUAAUGUUGUAUGAUGUGCUAAUCAAAUUGACACAUAAUAAAUUUAAGUUUCUUUUAAAGGCUCUCUUGCUAGGUUGUGGUCCAGUGAAGAUACUAGGUCCAGUAGGCUUCACUUGUGCAUUAUUGUUCUCUUGCAUAUUUAAGACCUGUAACUAAUGGUAUUAUAUAACAUGAGAUUCUUAUUGAAUCUCUCAAUGAAGCUUUUUUGCAGAAAAUAAUUCCCCCUUCCCAUGGUACUAUCCUGGUAUUCCUUGAUAGUCUGAGAAAUAAUACACAAACAUCUUAAUUUUCACCUGUGCAACACAUUGUUAAAAAUUGUCCUAACUGUUCUUUAAAAUAGUUACUACUGAUACGUCUAUCAUUUCCUAGUUUUCUGUUAAAAAAAAAAAAAAAAAAAAUAGAGUUUUAAAAAACAAACAUCUGUUGGCCAGAUGUUUAUUUCUUUUUUUGUUUUGUUUUGCUUUUUUUCUCUAAUUAGGUAUUGGGAGACUAUACUAGGAGGGAGUUGUAAGAGGAACUCAUUUAUUAACAAAGAUAGUAAACAUUUGUGUAAAUGAUUAGAAUUAGUUGGAGACACAUGAAAUGUGAGGCUGUCAUUGAAUUUUAUUAAAAUCUAUUGUAAAAAUACUUCCCUUUAUGCCAUCGUACAUAGAAGCAGGAUAAUCUCUGUUGUGGAAAUUACUGAUUCUUUUUCCAGUCCGGCCUCUUUGCCCCACCCCAUCAGCAAGAUCUCUAAGCUCAAUGAAUGUGAGCCUUUCUGUCCAUGUGAGUUAUCAAGAUAAAAGAUGUAUUCUCUGUGUUACUUCACUGCUUCACCCCGUAUCACAGCAUACAAAUCUUUAUGUGGCUUCAUGUUACAGAUACGGCCAAGCUCUACCUGAUUUUCUCUAUUUUAGCAGUCUGUUAAUUGAUUUGGGGUAUGAGUCCUUCCUCAGUUUAUGUUAUUCUCCUCUUUCUUGUAUUAAUUUUAAGACUGGUUCAUUCUACCUUUUCUCUUAAUAUUUGGAUAUAAUGCCUUCUGGUUUUUUGCCUCUUUAAAAUCCAGAUUUAUUCUCUGUAAGUAGGUACAUGAAGCAUGUGACUGUUUCAUUAUGUCUUCUAGUUCAGAUGUGUCUGGCAUUUUCACUCUGAAAUACUACUUAUAACAUCAUUGACUUUUUAAACAUAGAUGGGUUAUGAUUUCUAUGAAUUUUAUUUCUUGUACUAAAAGCAGGUUUUUAAAAUUUUAUGUGAAAGGGGGUAGUGGUUCUCAAAGAGUAGAGAACCACUGAACUCUCUCAUCUUACUGAUGAAGAAGUAGAGACCCAGGCAGGUUAAGGCAGCCUGGACUCCUCACCAGAUCCUGUGGAUUUCAGAUUGUUUGAAGGUGACCUUGACAUCUAUAGCUGGAGCUCUUUGGUUUAACUAUGUUUGCCCAGCUGCUUGAUUUUCACAUUCCUUCUUAUGUCCUCCAAAGCAGAUUUUAUUUUUAUCAUUUUUUAUUUAUAUUGCACUUAGCCAAGUUCCAGGGAAGGACUAAGUUCGGGAAUUAACGGCAGAGGUUAUCAGUCAUUCAGGGACUGUGAAAAUACUUGGGGAUGGGAGAUAAUUGUUCACUUGAAGUUAUAGGUGUGAGAUUUUAGUUUUUUACCCAACUAUCCAUUCACUCUCAUUCAUUGCCCACCUCUUAAGUAAAAAUUCCUCCUUCCGACAAAACUGAACAAGAAAGCAGCUUUUAACGCAUUUUAUUUUGGAGACACAGAAAAUGCCAAUCUGAAAAUGAUAGACUUCUACCAUCUAGAGAACUGCACAGACUUUGGCACUGAAGCACACCAAAAUAGGCUCUGCAUUAACAUUGUGGAGGCUCUUGCAGGAGAAACUAAACUCAUAUAUGAUCCCAUUUUUCUGUCAUGUAGUUUUAUAGCAUAGAAAUUCUCUACUUCUUCCUGAGUCAGUGAGCAAGGUCACAGUGCAGAGAAAUGCUAUACUUCUUCCACUCGUUCAGUAAAUAGUUCCUAAGGAUCUAUACAUUAAAAUAAUGCUGGCUGCUGUAACAACAAUGAACGUGCUUAAUGGCUUAAACACAUUAGAAAAUGUAUUUCUCACAUAAAGCCUGAAUAGAUAUUACUGGUGAGCAAGCACUCCUAGUCCUGAUUCAGAGACCUAAACUCCUUCAAUUUUGUGGCUCCAUCAUCUUCAACAUGUGGCUUUCAAAUUGUUAGUUGCUCAGUCAUGUCUGACUCUGUGAUUCCAUCCAGCCAGCCUCCUCCAUCCAUGGAGUUUUCCAGACAAGAAUAGGGAGUGGGUAGCCAUUCUCUUCUCCAGGAGAUCUUCUUGACUCAGGGAUCGAACCCCUGUCUCCUGCAUUGCAGCCAGAUUCUUUACCUUCUGAGCCAUCAGGGAAGCCCCGUGGCUUUCAAAGGAUACAUACUUUUCCAUUUCAAGCUGGCAGAAGGGGAAGAACAUGGAGGACUUGCCAGACCUGGAGGUGACAUAUAGCACUUCCAUUCAUAUUCCACUAUUUAGAACUUAAUCAUUGGCUACACCUAACAGCAAGGUCAGGAGGUGGGGAAUAUAGACUAACUGGGCCCAGGAAGAGAGGCAUAGGAACUUGGUGCCCAGCUCUUGGCAAUAAUCCAAGCAGUCUACUACAUGCUAGAAAAAAUAUAAAAAAUAUGUUCCAACCACGAAGGAAUAAAUUACCCUGCAAUGAAAGAAAUGCUCCACUAGACAGAUGUCAAACGUCAGAGAAGGGCAUUGGCACAUGAUCACAACUUUGCCUGAAACAAAAUCCCAUGGCAUAGCUUAGGACAUAUCUGUAAACUGAAGCUCCUGGUUCAGACCCUCUACACCAAAUGUGCUUGUACUCUAGAGCAGGAAGAAUACGGAGGCAUCCAGAUGCCUGGUACUGCAUCUUAUAAUAUCUUACUACUUCAAUUCUGUGGAUCAAGAGUAUUGACUUCUUAGAAAUGCAUACUCUUCAGGCCUUAUCCCAGAACUAUGGAAUCAAACUGUGCAUCUUAUCAAGGUUCCCCCAGCGAUUGGCAUCCACAUUAAUUUUGAGAGUCACACUGUGAUCCUGGCUCUGACACUAAUUAGUGUGACUUUAGCCCUAUUGUCCCAACUCUGUCCCUUCCCUUCAUCUGUAGAGUGGGGGGUAAUUGGAUAUCGGGGUAUCUCUCUAGAGAUAAUGUACACAAAUGUUAAAUAACACCUGACUGUCAGCAAGCAUUGGAUAUUUUCUUACACUAAGUAUUUACUUUAAAAAACAACUGUAAGGAGACACAGCUCUUUGAACUGUUAACUCUUUGAAUGCAUCCUCUUUCAACCCUUAGGACUUCAGCCCUUUGAAAUGGUGAGAGGUCUUUUAUUCAUAUGGUUUAGUGUUCCUUAGAAAUGUGUCAGCUCAGAAAAAAUAAACAUUUCCAAAGUCAGCAAAUGGCGUUUGUCCUGCUGCUGCUGCUAAGUCACUUCAGUCGUGUCUGACUCUGUGCAACCCCAAAGACGACAGCUGUCGUAGUAAGCCCUAAUAUAGACAGCAACCACGAUCUCAAUCAAUGAAUUUAGUAAACUUUUAAGUAUACACAGACAUGAUCUACUUACAUGCCAAACCUUGAGAGACAGUAAAUUCUUAAGGAACUUUAGUUAUAUAUAGUAACCUUAGAUUAAUUGAAACAGGAAAAACCAUUUAUUUAUAAAUUAACUAAUUUGCUUCAACCAGAAAAUAACUUGGUUUUCAGCCUUUUGGAAAUGUGUUUUUCUUGUAUAAUCUUUGUGCCUCAUUUAUUAAGUGUAAUAUAUGCAUAUUAAAGUUAAUUUUUGCUUUAUGUAAUGAUUUAGAAAGCAUAUCUAGAUCUUUCAGCACCUUGGGUUUAUCUUUUUAAAACUGUUUCUCUUAAUCCUAUGUGGUUAGUGGUUAUGUGGUUAGAAAUUUAUCAGAGUUAAGGCUGAAUAGGUACUGCUCUAAGAAUACAAUCUGAGACUUAAAAGCAUCUUUAAAGUCAGAUCCUAAUAUCAGCUUAUUUGGUUUUUUUCCUCUUGUUCCUAAGUUACAAUUUUAAAUUUUCAGUUUAAUUAAAUUACAUUUAUUGAUGUUAUGGGUGGCUUACUGUAGUUCAUCAGAUUAUUUAAAACUAGGAAAUAAAUUGAAAGACUAACUAUUAUGGCUUUCACUCAAGGAAAGGAACAAGACAAGAACCACUGGCAUUUAGGUUCAGAUGGGAGCAUCUCAGUCUAAGUUCGUAUAUGCCCCUAUGCAUUUAGACCUGGCCUCCUAAGUCAUAGAGGAAUCAUCCUGCCCAUCUGACAAGUGAGAUCCAAAAUGUUACAGGUUGUUUCCUUUGUACACUUGGUGCAAGACCAGAACUAAGAGGCACUAACACUUUCCUGUUGAAUCCAUCUUGUUGGUAUGUUGUACAAACCAGUUCGGUUUUGAACCUCAUCUAACCCCCACAGGACUUACACAAGAAGUGCAAAAAGGCAAAAAUCCCGUGUUUUAGUCACAACAGUGAAAUGGCACAGUGUAAAGCCACUCUGCAUCUAGUGUUUUUUUGUUUGUUUUAUCUUUAUAAUUUAUUGUAACAUGUACCAAAAUCAAAUUAUAAUAUAAUUCUAUGUUAUAUUCUUUGUGAAUAUAAAGACUUCUAUUUCUAUUCCAGUCUUAUGGCG